GAUGAAGAACGCAGCGAAAUGCGAUAAGUAAUGUGAAUUGCAGAAUUCAGUGAAUCAUCGAAUCUUUGAACGCACAUUGCGCCCCCUGGUAUUCCGGGGGGCACGCCUGUUCGAGCGUCAUUUCAACCCUCAAGCUCUGCUUGGUAUUGAGUCCAUGUCAGCAAUGGCAGGCUCCAAAAUCAGUGGCGGCGCCGCUGGGUCCUGAACGUAGUAAUAUCUCUCGUUACAGGUGCUCGGCGUGCUUCUGCCAAAACCCCAAUUUUUCUAUGGUUGACCUCGGAUCAGGUAGGGAUACCCGCUGAACUUAAGCAUAUCAAUAAGCGGAGGA
rnacentral:misc_RNA from 1 species